AUGGGUGUCAGCAAUAAUGAUGAAAUUGGUACAUCCUAUGUCAUACCUUUGUGCAAGAAGCCCUUGACGGACUUGAGUUUGCGAGAGGUGCUCCGACUUCAAAAUGUGAUUGUGGAAAAAAGAAUUAUUGUGAUGAGGAGGAGGAGGAGGAGAGUCUUUCUCAAGCCAAAGAAGAAGAAGUUGCUUGUAUUGAACCUGAAUGGUUUUCUGCUCCACCGAUCUAUUCACACUUUCCGUUUCACAGAUCAGGGAUGCUGUCCUAAUCCCAUUCUAAAGUCUCGAACAGCUGAUCAAAUAUAUCUUAACUUUCUCCUUUUCAAGAGGCCAUUUAGUGAAGAAUUUAUGAAAUUCUGCUUAGAAAGAUUUGAAGUUGGGAUUUGGACUUGUGCAAAGAAGAUUAAUGUUGACGGUGCUUUAACUUUUGCUAUUGGAGAAGAAUCCAAAAAUAAGCUGCUAUUUGUUUGGGAUCAAAGUGAUUGUACCGAUUCUCUUGCCAUGUAUUCAAAGGAGAAUAAAGAGAAGCCUCUUUUCUUCAAGGAGCUAAAUAAAGUGUGGAAUAAAGUCAAGAAAGGAGGUCCAUAUUCUGCUUCUAAUACUUUGAUGAUUGAUGACAAACCAUACAAGCUUAAUCCGCCAAAUACAACAAUUUUUGUCAAGUCAUAUGACAUAGAGAACAGAGGACAAUGCACUUGAUCCAAAUGGUGAACUUUGUGAGUACUUGAAAGGAGUAGAUGAAGCUGAACAUGUUCAAUCUUUUGUGAAGAAAAUCAGAUUUUUCUUCCUUCUCUCUCUCUACUUCCAUCGCCCCUUCCUUUCUUUCUCACCAAUCCACCAAAAUUCAUCAUUUCUUCAUGAGAUUUUUUGCAAGCUUUGCUAUUUUCUUGAGCUUUGGAAGACAUAGGGCCUUUAAGCAACUUGCUGCUCCUAUUUUUCUUCUUUGAAGAAAUUCAUUCAAGUGAUUCUAGCAUGGGUUGAAGAAGUUAGAGCUAAGAUGGUAAUCAUGUAGUGAAAAUUGAAGCUUUGUGUUGUGUUUGAAGCAUUAGAGAUAAGCUUGAGCAAGAAACAAGGAUAUUGAAGCUAGGGUUUGGCUUGGCAAGAAGAUUGAAGCAAGGGCUGACUGUAAGUAUAAGUGAUUCAUAGCUUAAGUUGUGGUUAAGUUGCCAUGAGUUGUUCCAAUAGUUGCUAUAAUUGAUUAUUGAGUGGAACAAUUUAAAUUUCGAUGUAAGUGGUCUAGGAGAUGUGUAUAUAUGUUUAGUUUGAUUCUGGAAAAUUUGAAUUGAAAUGGAAUUGUUUAGAGGUCAUAAGCUGUCAGUUAAGCUGUUAUGGAAAUUUUGUCUUAAAUGACUAAGCUGUUGAUCAAUUUGCUGUAAAAGUGAUUCUUAGGGAUGAUUAUACAUUUUGGAACUGUUGUGUUAAUGUUUGGGUCGAACUUAAUUUGAUAGAAGCCAUAAGUUUUUAAUUAAGCUGUUUGGAUAAAAGCUUAAGUUGGAAUUUGAGCCGUUUCAGGUAUAGUUUUGUGAUGACCAACUUAGGGGAGGUAUAUUAUAUUGGUAUAUGAGUAACGGUAAAAUGAUAAGCUGUUUUAUUAGUGACAAAAGUGCUUAAGUGGCCAAACAGUGAACUUCUGGUGCAGAGACUGAAAUGAGAAUUUUUGUACAUGCUGGUCAAUGAAGUAAGAGGGGAACACAAGUGAGUUGAGAUGUUUCAAAAAGGGUAAAAACUAUAAGCUAGGGCAUAAGUUGUUUUGGAAAAGUGAUUAUGGAGUUUGGAGAUCGCAAAAGCUGCAGAUUGUUGAUCAGAUGCUUUGCAAGUUUUUCCAAAAGUAUUUCAAGGUGAGUUCCUUAGUUAGUUAGCUCUCCCUUUGGGUAGUUUGAAUCAUGUCAUUGAAAUGAUGUUAUUUACUUUUACUCAAUACAAUCGAGGUUUUAAUGGUUAUGCAAAGUCAUGAUAAUGUGAACGAAAUUGUAUAUGAUAUGAAUGUUAUGACAGUAUUGAUCAUGUGAAUUGGUUCUAGCAUUAAAACACUAAGCAAGACAA